CCUACGGGAGGCAGCAGUGAGGAAUAUUGGUCAAUGGACGCACGUCUGAACCAGCCAUGCCGCGUGAAGGAAGACGGCCCUAUGAGUUGUAAACUGCUUUUGUACGAGGAUAAACGCAGAUACGCGUAUCUGUCUGAAAGUAUCGUACGAAUAAGGAUCGGCUAACUCCGUGCCAGCAGCCGCGGUAAUACGGAGGAUUCGAGCGUUAUCCGGAUUUAUUGGGUUUAAAGGGUGCGUAGGUGGUCGGAUAAGUUAGGGGUGAAAUCCUGAGGCUCAACUUCAGAAUUGCCAUUGAUACUGGCCGGCUAGAGAGUAGUUGCGGUAGGCGGAAUGUAUGGUGUAGCGGUGAAAUGCUUAGAGAUCAUACAGAACACCGAUUGCGAAGGCAGCUUACCAAGCUACGUCUGACAUUGAGGCACGAAAGCGUGGGGAUCAAACAGGAUUAGAUACCCGAGUAGUC
rnacentral:rRNA from 1 species